CACAAUGCCUAUUUCUAGCCACUCUGGUCAUCACUUUGAACUCUACUGCCCUGCCAUCAGGUGACCAACCGUCAGACCGGCCCUUUAAAUUCUCUGGGAGUUUUGAAAAUCCCCUUCUUGUUUGCUCAGCAAGGCACGGAGUGCUCUGUGACUCUUUCCAGGUGACCACGCCUCCACCAACCAUGUGAUCCCCAGUAUGGAGCAAUCCUGGACCUCAUCAGUGUUUGGGGGAAGGAAGCUGUCCAGUCCCAGCUGCACUCCAGCCAUAGGAAUUGCAAUACCUUCGGGCAGAUGUCAAGGGACAUGAUGGAAAAGGGCCAUAAAUGGGACACACUGCAGUGCAGGGUUAAAGUUAAGGACCUGUGGAAUACCUAUCACAAAGGCCAUGAGGCAAACCGUCACUCUGGUGCUGCCCCCGUGACCUGCCGUUUCUACAAAGAGCUGGACGCAAUACUUGGAGGCGACCCUACCUUCACUCUGAAGACCAUCAUGGACACUUCAGAGCCCAGUGAGGGUGCUGAGGAGGAGGGAGACAGCCCUGCAUCCCUAGAUGCAUGCAGCCAGGAGCUGCUCUCAAGCCAGGAGGAAGGUAGCCAGUAGCAGCGGCUGGUGCUUGGGGAAGAACAAAAAUACCAGAGGAGGUGCCUGAUGUAACCUUGAGAUUUCAGCCAUCCUUGUUAUCACUGGCUGAAAGACUCCAAAGAAUCGGGGAAGCGGCCAUGUAGAAGCAAAGAGGACGUGCUGCAUGAAGUAAUGCAGCAGUCCCUUAAUGAAAAUCAAGAAGUGCAGGAUGGCAGGAGAGUGAAAGGAGGGUCUGCUAGCAGAAUGUGGAUUGCUGGCACUAAAGCACGGAGCGGCUGCUAAGUAUUAUGGAGCACCAAGCAGACUCGAUACAGGCACUUAUAGCAAUGCAGACGGAGCACUUCCGUGCUGGCCCCCUCACCCCCACCCCUCUGCAGCCCUUGUCCCAAAACUCUUUCCCUUGUGCCCCUAUGUCACCUCCAACCCACUUUCCCCUACAUCUGGGUUCUUAUUACCACCAGCUGCCUCUAACACCCGUAGCUUCACCACCCAGCCCUGCAAAUUACCCACUGCACUCAACUCCCAUCACCGUGCAUUUUAGCCAGCCAGAAGUGCAGCACUCAUUGCACAGCACUCCAACCAGGAAGGCUGAGUAUGAUAACAGGACACAUGCAAAUCUGUGAGUGUACCGUUCCCCACCUGACCCCCUUGCCCUUUCUGUUUCCUAAGCCGUUGUUUUUCUUUUCAAUAAAUGGCUUUUUUGGCUUUGA